rnacentral:lncRNA from 1 species
GGAGACAAAUAAUUUCAAUAAAACGUGCUCUAGUGGAAACUCCGCCUGGAGGCCCAGAGAAGGAGAUGACGGGUGAGCCGGGUGUUGAAGGAUGAUGGAGGAGACAGGGCGGCGUUCCCAGCGGCCUGGAGGAGUCUGGCUCGAUCCACUCUGUACUCCUGGUGACCCUCCUCUCUGCCCUGGCACUUUGACCUUUGUCAACUACAUCAGCAGACUCUCUGACUUCCAGCUGGACUUAGCCAACAGAACUUUCCAGCAGGAGAUUGAAAGUCCGAUGGUGACAGCCAGUGGUUCAACAGGGUUCUCAAAGGGCACAAGGAAACACUCAGAGCAAGGGAUGGAGCCAACUCAAGGAGACGGAAAGAACAUUUGAAGAAACUAAGAGGUGAGCAGAUGCUUGCAGAAACCAAAGAGCUGGAGUUAAGGAUAGAAGCUGGCUAUAAACUGUGAAUCCCAGAUGAAUAGGGAUAAAGUGACCGAUCAGAAUGCACCCUGGCCUUCCUGCUUCACUGGACUGUGUGUGAAUUUACUGUAAAGUACUGGACGGUCAGAAGAAUGAGCAAAAGAAAACUAGACAGUCAUUCCUCAGCUUUCCUGUCUUCUUUAGGAUUUCCUGCUAGCUUUUGCCACCCUCAGCCUCCACCCACCCCGAUAACUACCACCUACCCCCAACUAAUCCGGUUAACAGACACUCAAAGUGCGUUACUCAUCAUUACGUAGGGUGCUUGCUGCUGGAUGGAACUGGGGGAGGCAGUGUGUGAGCCUCCUGGCUCCCUAUGCCUGACUCGCCCUUUCCUUGUUCAAACGUGUUGUUCCCUAGUGUGUUCCCCAGGGCCCCAAGGGAAGGCUUGCUGUGAUUCAUGUGACUUUUAAGUGUGAUAGAAAUGCAGGACCAACUUGUUAAAGUAUUUAUGGGGAUCUAUUUUGGGGAGACAAAGUCUAGCCAAGACACACAUCGAAGUUCAAAAAGAAGACAGAGCAACAGUGAUGAAGAAGAUGUGGUCAUCAGGACGGAAGGACACUGAAGCCGGGAAACAUAAGACAAAGUCUUUCAUGUAUCUCAUUCCUGAGACACUUGUGAUAAGCCCCUGGAGAGUUGCUAAAUGUGGUGUAUACGUUGGGCUGUAAGCCCUUUAGAGCCAACCCCAAAAGGGGCCAUGCAAGAAGUUACAUGAUUGGGGAAGGGUGGUUACAGCGGAAGUACUGAUGCUCUUGGAAUAGAGAUUAGAGCAAAAACCACCCUUCCACUCUGUACAUGGCUGCCCCUCCCACCCCGCUGCCUCUGUGGAGUAGAGUGAAUCACAUUUUCUAACACCUUUACAAUAAAAGUGUCAGUGAUCUGUAAAAGCUUGGGCUGUAGCCGUAUAGUGAUAAGCAGUAGUCCCUGUCACCUCCCCCAGAAUGUUAUGCUAUACUAAGAAAGGGGAAUAUGCUAUGAUUUAAUGGAGAGAGGAGAUUGAGUGGAUGGCCAUGCAUGGGCACUUCUAGAGUGCAGAUAUGUUUCACAUUUUAUGUCCAACGUCUACGGGUGGUGUAAAGUGCAGUGUUCUGCAUAGACACUGACAGCCUGUCCAAUAUGUCUCUUCUUGAAAAACAUGAAGUGGCUGCAAGGACUCAUGAAGGAGGUAAAAUAUACUUCUGUUGGGAUUAUAAUAAUUCCUACUUAUGGGAAACAUGUGAAAGAAAACAAAAUGGUGGCCCUUCCAGGAGGCAUGGGGGAAGGGGCAUUAAUGCAAAGGAGCCAGCUCACAGGGGGAGGAGGAGGGGUGGGUUGAAUCCAAGGAAAGACUAGAUGGUGCCCCCCCCCCCACCCCCCGGAAUAAUAUGAGGGGUUCUCAGAAGAAAACACCAGAAACGUGCCCUGGGGAUGCAGAGGACACAUGCCUCCAGCAGGAAUGGCAGGGACCUCUUGCCAGGGCAAAGGGAAGAGGAAAACAGGGCAAGAACUGAGUCCUUAGAACUCUCUCAAGCAAAUGGUGUAAUUAUUUCCUCCAUGGCAAAGUGCUUUUCGUGAUAGACCAUUCUUCUGAGUUUUGUGUGAUUUCUUUGUUUUUACUUCUGUUUUCGCUCUAGAGAGCUGGCUUACGUGACUACUGGUGUAGAGGAAAGGUGUGAAUGUGCGCUAGAGGCGGCUCUGUAAUGCUCUGAAGCAGCGGUGACGGCCGGCCUUGGGAUGACUGUGUGGGCUGGGUAUUGCAACCAGGGCAACAAGGCCUUCAAAUUACAAAUAAAUCCAGUUCCAUCUUUGCCCCCCUCUCCCACCAGCCUCGAGGCAGAACAAGCAGGGUCUAGUGACACCAGUGAUGCUGUAGCAGCCCUCGCAGGGCAGAGUGGUUUCUCGUGCCAGACCCCAGCUGCUUUCCUGCAGACAUUCCCAUCAUGCCUUGCUACUUCCCCUGGAAGGCCGGUGAGGUACCACCCGCUCCAGAAGGGGUAAGAUGACGCUCCUUUUAAACACAAGGAACCAAGCCUUCUUUCUUCUUCCUUAUCCCAAAUUCCUUGUCCCGGUAGAAUUCCAAUUCUACCCUAGCCAGUCUACUGGAAACUCGACCCAUCCUAAUUUCUACUCAUGAUUCAUCAUUAUUCAUACCCAGGCACAAACCUGACACCCCUCAUUUUGGAGCCAUCUCACUACAGGCUCAUCUUUGGUCACAUCGGUCUAUUUUUAAUUGUUAUAGGACUUCUGUCUUGCGUGUUCAUUUAUUUACAAGUUUAUUGUCUAUUCUAGAAUAUGAGUGGUGAGAGCAAGGACUUGUUUGUCUGGUUGACUCCUAUAUUAUUAUGUUAAAUAGUGUCUGGCAUGUAAUCAGUAUGCCAAAAUUUAAUUAUUGUUAAAAAUAGGGGAGUCAAGUAUACAUCAAGAACAUGGCGAAGUAAAGCAUUCUAAUGUUAAUGUAUGAAAAUAGUUUUUACUUUACAGACUCAGAGACACCCCCAUUCUAUUGAGUGCUGCAAUAGGGAAGUAAAGAGUAGUCAGAGGUCGCAGGGGUUGGAGACCUGAGGAAAAAAGGGCACUAAAGGGGUCUCUGAGACUCUUUCAGGGAGUUUGUAAGGUAAAAAUUAGUUUCAUAUUAAUAUUAAGGUGUUGAUUUUUUCACUGUGGUGACAUUUCUACUGAUGAUGCAAAAGCAACAGAGAGCGAAACUGCUGCCUCCUUGGCAUGUGGCAUGUGGCAUGUGGCACCAAAUUGUCACCACAUACUCACAGUAAAACAGAUUGCAGUUUUAUUUAAGAAUGUCCUUGAUAGGGGUACCUGGCUGGCUCCAUCGGUGGAAUGUGCGACUCUUUAUUUUGGGGUUGUGAGUUCCAGCCCCAUGUUGGGUGUAGAGAUUACUUUAAAAAAAAAAAAAAAAAGAAGAAGAAUGUCCCUGGAAAAUCAGUAAAAAUUAUUAAUUUUGUAAAUCUUGACCUCUGAGUACAUGCGCAUUGAAUAUUCUCUGUGAUAAACUGGGAAAUACACAUCAAGCAUUUCCGCUGAAUAAUGAAGGGUUGGUUUUCUUGAGGAAGAACACUUAGUAAUUGAAUUGUGAGCUGAACUAGCCUUUUAUGCCCCCUGGAACACCAUUAUUCUUUAAAAUUUUAAAGAGUGAAAGCCGAAAUAUGGUUGUUUAGACUUGGAUAUUUGAAGGAUAUUUUCUCAAAAUGAUUAAAAUAAGCUUGUCCCCUCAAGUAAAACAACUGACAAUAUCAGUUGCCAAUGAUUAGAACUAUGGAAAACUUGGGUCCAUCUCUGUGAGCUUGACAACUUCCUUAUAGACAUUAUUCUGACGAGACUGCUGACGAUAUAGUAAUGUGAUUUGGGGGGAUAUGUGUAAUAAAAUGUGUCAAAAUUCGGAAGAUCUAUGUAAGUUAGUGAACCAAUAUUUUCCGAAUGUCACAAAAGCAUGCGUGGGUAAAAGACCCAUUCCAAGUGCAAAACAGAUCAAUGGGUUUCAUGGAAGAGAAUUUUAUUUAUUUAUUUAUUUAUUUUUUAAAGAUUUUUAUUUAUUUGACAGACAGAGAUGACAAGUAGGCAGAGAGGCAGGCAGAGAGAGAGGGGGAAGCAGGCUCCCCGCUGAGCAGAGAGCCCGAUGCGGGGCUCGAUCCCAGGACGCUGNNNNNNNNNNNNNN